rnacentral:rRNA from 1 species
GACGAACGCUGGCGGCGUGCCUAAUACAUGCAAGUAGAACGCUGAAGGGAGGAGCUUCCUCUUCUUGGAUGAGUUGCGAACGGGUGAGUAACGCGUAGGUAACCUGCCUUGUAGCGGGGGAUAACUAUUGGAAACGAUAGCUAAUACCGCAUAACAAUGGAUGACACAUGUCAUUUAUUUGAAAGGGGCAAUUGCUCCACUACAAGAUGGACCUGCGUUGUAUUAGCUAGUAGGUGAGGUAAUGGCUCACCUAGGCGACGAUACAUAGCCGACCUGAGAGGGUGAUCGGCCACACUGGGACUGUGACACGGCCCAGACUCCUACGGGAGGCAGCAGUAGGGAAUCUUCGGCAAUGGGGGCAACCCUGACCGAGCAACGCCGCGGGAGUGAAGAAGGUUUUCGGAUCGUAAAGCUCUGUUGUAAGUCAAGAACGGGUGUGAGAGUGGAAAGUUCACACUGUGACGGUAGCUUACCAGAAAGGGACGGCUAACUACGUG